rnacentral:tRNA from 1 species
GCGUCGGUGGCACAGGGGUUAGGACUCUUGCCUACCAUGCAUAUGGUCCAGGGUUCGAUCCCCUGUCGACGCA